rnacentral:rRNA from 1 species
UACGUAGGGGUCUAGCGUUGUUCGGAUUUACUGGGCGUAAAGGGCGCGUAGGCGGCGCAACAAGUCACUUGUGAAAUCUCCGGGCUUAACCCGGAGCGGCCAAGUGAUACUAGUCGUGCUAGAGUGCGGAAGGGGCUACUGGAAUUCUCGGUGUAGCGGUGAAAUGCGUAGAUAUCGGAGAGGAACACCUGCGGCGAAGGCGGGUAGCUGGGCCGGACUGAUACGUAGGCGGCGAAGCGAGGGAG